rnacentral:rRNA from 1 species
GAUGAACGCUGACAGAAUGCUUAACACAUGCAAGUCUACUUGAAUUUGGGUUUUUUAACUUAGAUUUGGGUGGCGGGCGGGUGAGUAACGCGUAAAGAACUUGCCUCGCAGCUAGGGACAACAUUUGGAAACGAAUGCUAAUACCUGAUAUUAUGAUUAUAAGGCAUCUUAGAAUUAUGAAAGCUAUAUGCGCUGUGAGAGAGCUUUGCGUCCCAUUAGCUAGUUGGAGAGGUAACGGCUCACCAAGGCGAUGAUGGGUAGCCGGCCUGAGAGGGUGAACGGCCACAAGGGGACUGAGACACGGCCCUUACUCCUACGGGAGGCAGCAGUGGGGAAUAUUGGACAAUGGACCAAGAGUCUGAUCCAGCAAUUCUGUGUGCACGAUGACGUUUUUCGGAAUGUAAAGUGCUUUCAGUUGGGAAGAAAAAAAUGACGGUACCAACAGAAGAAGUGACGGCUAAAUACGUG